GUCUUAUAUUCAAAUAAUGAUAUAAAAUUGCAAAUUUUAAGGUGUAUUGUAUACUAAGGCUU
rnacentral:tRNA from 1 species